CGGGGGUGGCCCGGUGGCCGCGGUGUAGAUGGUGGUGCAGGACAGGGGGGUGGCGCUGGGGUCAGUCCCUUUGGGCUUCUGAGCGAGGGGACAAAGGGUGGGCAGCGACCCGAGGGUCCCAACAGGGCCACCCUGGCCCUCCCACCACCUUUUCCUGCCGGGGUUGUGCCCAGCAGGGCUCGGAAAAGGGGAAAAAUCCCGGAGUUUGUCCCCAAAGCCACCGUGGGACGCUGGGGCUCAGCAAGUUGUGUCACCUGGCAUUAUUCCCGAGAUUCCCAAAUUCCGGCCUUCCUCCAUCAAGAGGAAGAGGCUGGACCAAGCUUUGGUCUCGACUGCCUACUUGGAGGAUAACGGGGGUUACAGGUGCUUGGGCUUCCCAAAUCCUGCUGACCACCAGCACCCCUAAAACCCUGGAAUUCCCGUCCCUUUGGAAUUCUCCUGGAAACUCCAGUGGACACUGGGAUCACUGGAAUAUAAAUAUCCAGAAAUUCGGGUUUUUUCCCCCAAGAUUCAAUGCCCAGCUGUGCCUUGGAGCGAAGAUUUGGGGAUGGAAAACUCCGGAAGGGAUGGAUUUGGGAUUGGUCAGGCGGGAUGAGCGGAGGUGGCAAUUUUGUGGGGUUUUUGGGGUUUGGAAAUUUAGGAAUCCUUUUUUUUACCCUUUUUCUUGGUGAAGAGUGUGAAGAGGUUUGGGUUUGCCAGUCUGAGUUUCUGGCCAACACACCAAUUUUAAGGUGGGUUUAGUGCUGGUUAAACCCCAGCGCUCACUGGAGUUAUUUGCUCAUUUCCUGCUGUGAGAUGCGGAUCAGGAGGUGGAGGGCAAAACAGGCUCCAAACUUUAAGGGGUAUAAAAAAAUAUCAAUUGACUGAGCUAAAAUAAAAAUAAAAUCAGAAUAAACCUUUGGAAUGCUUAUUCCCCACCCUCUUUUCUCUCCAACUGACAAGGUAAAGAGACAAAACCUGGCACUUUCACUCAGUUUACCAACUCAAAACAGCCUGUCUUCAGCUCUCUUGUGGAGAGCAGUCCCUCUUGCCAUGCCAUGGAGACUUCUCCACAAGAAACAGCUCUUUCCUGUCUUUUAAUUUUAAUUUCCAUGAAGCAAACAAAGUUCCAUGUGAGAGCUGCCCCGGCCGUGAGGAUUUUGGUCGGACAGUCUCGGCCUUGUGGUCGAUCUGGGUU